rnacentral:tRNA from 1 species
AAAACUUUAAGUUAAAUUAAACUAUUAAUCUUCAAAAUUAAAUAUAAAAAUAUUUUUUAAGUUUUA